AUGGAGGCUGGAGGACUGAUUUCGGAGGCUGGCUGGACCAUGUUUGACUUCCCGCCACAGGGCGAGGAGUCCGAUAUCAUGGCGCAGCUGCUUGGCACCUUCCCUUCCCAUGGUGAUGAAGCCCAGCAGGAUCUGCCUUGGUAUCAGGCUUCCCAUCCAUCCUACUAUGACGCUGAUCUUAAUACAAGUGCAUGUAGUGACAGCAAUGCUAGCAGCUUUGCUGUUCCAUCCGAAUGCAUGGGCUACUAUUUGGGUGAUUCAAGUGAGGCCCUGGGCAUCACGUCCCUCGCACCACAGGACCUGAACUUGGUCCAGGAGCAAGGCGCAACCGAGUUUCUGAAUAUGAUCCCUAGCAUUUCCCAUGAUUUGUACCGGAACGGCGAGUCAAGCUGCGAGGGUCUCGACUCGGUCAGUGCUACUAACAAGAGGAAGCACUCGGUGGAAGAAGAAAUCGAUGGCCAAGCGAGAGGUCGGAAAUGCGCAAGGAAGGCUGCACCGAAGCGAGCAAAGAACGCCAAGCAAACCGAAGCGAGCUGCUGCACCUCUGACAAUGACUCGAAUGCUUCUCAAGAGUCUGCAGAUGCUGGUGUUACUCCAAAAGGCAAGGCCCGGGCUGGACGCGGGGCAGCAACCGAUCCCCAGAGCCUCUAUGCAAGGAAAAGGAGGGAAAGGAUCAACGAGAGGCUGAAGACACUGCAGACCCUUGUGCCCAAUGGAACCAAAGUAGAUAUGAGCACCAUGCUUGAAGAGGCAGUCCAGUAUGUCAAAUUCCUGCAACUUCAGAUCAAGGUCCUCAGCUCUGAUGAAAUGUGGAUGUACGCGCCGAUUGCGUACAACGGGAUGAACAUUGGGCUUGAUCUGAACAUGUAG
rnacentral:rRNA from 1 species